rnacentral:misc_RNA from 1 species
AAGUCGUAACAAGGUUUCCGUAGGUGAACCUGCGGAAGGAUCAUUAUCGAAUUUUGAGAGGGGUUGUAGCUGGCCCGGAUGGGCAUGUGCACGCCCCGAUCAUCCUCUCAACACCUGUGCACUUUUGUAGGAUCAGCCCGACGGCGUCAGCUGCGGUUUGCAUCCUAUGUCUUUUACGAACGCAUCAGUUGUAGAAUGUCCUUUGCUAUAAACGCAUAAAUAUAACUUUCAGCAACGGAUCUCUUGGCUCUC